GACGAACGCUGGCGGCGCGCUUAACACAUGCAAGUCGAACGGAAAGGCCUGCUUUCCCUUGUGGAUUGCGGGUACUCGAGUGGCGAACGGGUGAGUAACACGUGAGUGAUCUGCCCCCAACUUGGGUAUAAGCCUGGGAAACUGGGUCUAAUUCCCGAUAGGACUGCAGGGUGGUGCCUGUGGUGGAAAACGAUUUUCUAGUGGUUGGGGAUGAGCUCGCGGCCUAUCAGCUUGUUGGUGGGGUAAUGGCCUACCAAGGCGGCGACGGGUAGCCGGCCUGAGAGGGUGGACGGCCACAUUGGGACUGAGAUACGGCCCAGACUCCGACGGGAGGCAGCAGUGGGGAAUAUUGCACAAUGGGCGGAAGCCUGAUGCAGCGACGCCGCGUGGGGGAUGACGGCCUUCGGGUUGUAAACUCCUUUCGACCGCGAGGAAGCCACCUGGUGGGAAGGGUGGUGACGGUAGUGGUAGAAGAAGCACCGGCUAACUACGU
rnacentral:rRNA from 1 species